GCCUGCACUCACCACACACAGCAGUGGGGUGAUCGUGCCCCCUUCCACUUCCCAUGCCAGGUAAUUUUAUUUUUCAUUAUCCCUUUAAUGCAGAGCAGGGCCACUGAUUACAAAAAAGCAGUUUGACUCUAGCAAUAGGUCUUCUUCAGUAAUCCUCACUGUCAUGGAAACUCCGGCUGCUACAAGAAUAAGAGGCUCAAUCCAUAUUUGCCAGUUCUAAUAUGAAAUCUGUCAGAGCCCAAAUUAAUGAGUUCCAAAUUCCUUACAUCACGAUAACAGGUUAAGACUGGUCAAUUAAUUACAUAAAUCCUUCCCGAUUCAUUGUGCGUUUGCAGCUCAGAUUGUGUCUUACAUUACUCGGUGACACAAGGCCUUUUGGCUCCUGUUGUUCCAAAGAAAGGUCCCAUUUAAGUGGAGGCUGCCUGCCACGGCAAAAUGUUAAAUGUCACACGUUAAAUGUGCACUUUUCUGUAAUUGCUUUUGUUAAAAAAAAAAAUUAAAGGGGCUCCUAACACAGCACCGUGCUGAGGGCUGGAACUGUACUGAGCACCAGGGCAGGUAGACACCUCUGCUUGCCUCUAACAGUACAUACAGACUUCGGUACCCAUGCGCUGCGUGAAGAAGCCAGAAGGCUGUGUUUGUGAAAAUAAACCCAGAUCCCGUAAGGUCAAUACUAGCGAAUAUAGACAGUUGGAUAUGCCUUUUUGAAAUGAGAGGACUAAAAUUUGAGUCCAGCUUCUCUUGUCAGGUGUAAGAGUACUAUUAGACAUGUAACCCGUGUUGGACCUAGUUAACUUGAAAAGAGGCACAUUACACAAGUGUAUACGAUGUAUGUGCAGAGCUUGUCGCCAAAAAGGAUGCUCCUGAUGGCCUUGCUAUUUAGAUUUGUAACUGAUAGGCACCUACAGAGAAUAGAAUUGAGGACUCAAAGGGCCACAAAUCAUCCAGGCCAAAUGUUUUUUGUUUUUUGAGUGUUUUUUUUUUUUUCUUUUUUAAUGUCCAAAUUAGCUUGGAGUCACAGCUAGGUAGACCGUGAUCUGCCUUGACUCUCAACGCCUAGGGCCACCUCCCCCCACACCCCACUGUCUUGCUUUGUGGCCCGAUGCAAAUAUAGCCCGAACUAUCUCACCACAGGCUUGGAGUCUGGUGAGCACAAGCCAGCAGACGAAGCUCUAAGCAUUGACUGCAGGGUAUCAGCGCGUCGCGCUGCCCGACAGCGACCCCGUCCGUCCACCCGUGGCCUCGCACCACUGGUCAUCCUCAAGUGACCUGGCUCAGCAGCUUGGGGGCCUGCAUCUCCCCACGCGCAGCCCAGAAUCCAGACGCACGCGAUUCUUCCCCAGGAGCAAAAGGCCGGCUCCUGGGUACAACCGGGUCAGACAAGAGAGGGACCUAGCGUAUUGGGCUCCAGUCUGGAAGGUUCCAAGCUCCUGGGAUAAGCGCACAUCGCAGCGUGGGGUCAGCUAAGGCUGGAGCUGGUGGAGCCCUGUGCACACUCUCGGUGGGCGGUGCCUGAAGAACAAAGGCACACGUGCCUCCCCCACCCGCGCCCGGCACGUGUGCGGCGGCUUUGUUUGGUCCUCACUGUCUGGGUGCGGGACGCUGGCGGUGCCCGAGGCAGGUGGGCCAUGGUAAAUCGCUCUCCGCCCGCCCACUCCAAAUGGCUUCCUCCCAUCCCCCACCUGGUUCCGCAGUGCAGUUGCUAUGGGUUACCAGGACGGUUGCUAUGGGUUACCCAACCGAGGAAGCGGGAGCAUGCGUGGGAUGGCAGGAGCUUGCGGGCUGCUGAGCCGAGGCCCACAGGGGUGGGGGAUGAGCUAUAAAGAAGGCCCAGAUCGGUUUUAAUAAAAAGCUGAGGACCCAGAGCAAAGGAGGAGAAAAUAGGAGGGACUUCCAGCCAGACUUAGGUACUCUGGGAAAGAAUUUGCCAGCCCGACACAGAGGAAAAAGCAGCCACCAGGACUAGUGACUGGAGGCUAGGAGAACAGCUGGUAAACGAGGUGUGGUAGUGUGUGCCUGUGAUCCUGCUCUUCUUCAGGAGGCUGAGGCAGAAGGAUGCCACCCGGUCCAAGCUGACCUGGGCUGCCAAGUAUGACCGUGUCUCAGAAAUCAGCAAAUCCUCAGAGGCCUUUCUCUACCCACUAAACAGCUGUACAGAGUGAGAACCAAGUUCCUGACACAGAAAGUGCUUCAGGCAAAGUCAGCUGGUCGGCCUUCAAGCACUCAUCUGGAUAACCCAGAACAGGACCAGCAAGACGGCUCAGCAGACACAAGCACUUACUGCAAAAGCCUGCCAACCUGAGUUCAAUACCCGGGGCCAGCCAUAGGAGAAAAACUACUUUGGGAAGUUAUCCUCAGACCCCUGCACACGCGGCCUGGGACUUGCUCCUGCUCCUGUGACCUGGAACUGGUACUGAUCAGGAGAGGACUGACUGAAGAAUCGGCUGCCGCUAACAAGAGCUCUGGCUUCCCUGGAACAGGAAAGAAGUAUUCCCCAAGGCCAACACACCAAAGCUGUCACAAUGGGGUCAGACUACACCUUGAACUAAA